rnacentral:misc_RNA from 1 species
GGAAAUGAUAUGUAGUUGAAGUGAAAAUGUGACAAUGCAUAGCGGUAUCCUUAAUUAAGAAAUUCUGUCCUUAUGCAUUGUGCCUCAUUGACUUGGAGCGUGCUAUCAAUUGUUUUGUCAAUUUUCUAGGUCCUCUUCAUCAACAAGGCCUGCAUGUGAGUUUGUUUGUAAUUGCCUAAAAUCUGAUUAGUGCUUGGAACCAG